GACGAACGCUGGCGGCGUGCUUAACACAUGCAAGUCGAACGGGCUGCCUGGUUUUCGGAUCGGGUGGUGAGUGGCGAACGGGUGAGUAACACGUGAGUAACCUGCCCCUCUCUUUGGGAUAACGUCGGGAAAUCGGCGCUAAUACCGGGUAUUCUGGCUUCCUCGCAUGGGGUUGUUGGGAAAGGUUUUUUCUGGUGGGGGAUGGGCUCGCGGCCUAUCAGCUUGUUGGUGGGGUGAUGGCCUACCAAGGCGGUGACGGGUAGCCGGCCUGAGAGGGUGUCCGGCCACACUGGGACUGAGACACGGCCCAGACUCCUACGGGAGGCAGCAGUGGGGAAUAUUGCACAAUAGGCGGAAGCCUGAUGCAGCGACGCCGCGUGGGGGAUGACGGCCUUCGGGUUGUAAACCUCUUUCAGUGCAGAACAAGGCUCUUUGUGGGUUGAGGGUAUGCGCAGAAGAAGCGCCGGCUAACUACGUG
rnacentral:rRNA from 1 species